AAAGUCGUAACAAGGUUUCCGUAGGUGAACCUGCGGAAGGAUCAUUAGUGAUUUAUCAUUAAUAUCUACACACACCUGUGAACUGUUCUAUUUGGUCCUUGGAUCAAUUUUACAAACAUAGUGUAACGAACGUCUUAUUAUCAUAACAACAAAACUUUCAACAACGGAUCUCUUGGCUCUC
rnacentral:misc_RNA from 1 species